UCAGCUCUCAUUGCCUUUUGGCUCUGAUCAAGUGUAGUAACUGUUCUGCCUUGGGUGAAACCAAUGGCGCGCUCUACGGAGUUGCCUUGGCUUCCAUAAUUUUUGGAAACUGGCUGGUGUCCGCUGAGCUUCGCUCAUGACACUGGCCACAGUGUCGCCAGUAUUGCACUGUUGCUGGCUGACGCGAAUCAAC
rnacentral:snRNA from 1 species